rnacentral:rRNA from 1 species
AUUGAACGCUGGCGGCAUGCCUUACACAUGCAAGUCGAACGGCAGCGGGCCUUCGGGUGCCGGCGAGUGGCGAACGGGUGAGUAAUGCAUCGGAACGUGCCAUUGAGUGGGGGAUAACGUAGCGAAAGUUACGCUAAUACCGCAUAUUCUGUGAGCAGGAAAGCAGGGGACCGCAAGGCCUUGCGCUCUUUGAGCGGCCGAUGUCAGAUUAGCUAGUUGGUGAGGUAAAGGCUUACCAAGGCGACGAUCUGUAGCGGGUCUGAGAGGAUGAUCCGCCACACUGGAACUGAGACACGGUCCAGACUCCUACGGGAGGCAGCAGUGGGGAAUUUUGGACAAUGGGCGCAAGCCUGAUCCAGCCAUGCCGCGUGAGUGAAGAAGGCCUUCGGGUUGUAAACCUACUUUCUUGGAGAAGAGACAAGGACGGUAUCCCAGGAAUAAGUACUCGGCGUAACUACGUGCCAGCAGCCG